rnacentral:rRNA from 1 species
UGGGGAAUUUUGGACAAUGGGCGAAAGCCUGAUCCAGCAAUGCCGCGUGUGUGAAGAAGGCCUUCGGGUUGUAAAGCACUUUUGUCCGGAAAGAAAUCCUUGGCUCUAAUACAGUCGGGGGAUGACGGUACCGGAAGAAUAAGCACCGGCUAACUACGUGCCAGCAGCCGCGGUAAUACGUAGGGUGCAAGCGUUAAUCGGAAUUACUGGGCGUAAAGCGUGCGCAGGCGGUUUGCUAAGACCGAUGUGAAAUCCCCGGGCUCAACCUGGGAACUGCAUUGGUGACUGGCAGGCUAGAGUAUGGCAGAGGGGGGUAGAAUUCCACGUGUAGCAGUGAAAUGCGUAGAGAUGUGGAGGAAUACCGAUGGCGAAGGCAGCCCCCUGGGCCAAUACUGACGCUCAUGCACGAAAGCGUGGGGAGCAAAACAGGAUUAGAUACCCUGGUAGUCCACGCCCUAAACGAUGUCAACUAGUUGUUGGGGAUUCAUUUCCUUAGUAACGUAGCAACGCGUGAAGUUGACCGCCUGGGGAGUACGGUCG